GAGUGUGGCAGUGUGUAUAAUGUGUGUCUGGGAGUGAGUGUGGCAAUGUGUAUAAUGUGUGUCUGAGAGUGAGUGUGGCAAUGUGGAUAAUGUGUGUCUGAGAGUGAGUGUGGCAAUGUGUAUAAUGUGUGUCUGAGAGUGUGUGUGGCAGUGUGUAUAAUGUGUGUCUGGGAGUGAGUGUGGCAAUGUGUAUAAUGUGUGUCUGAGUGUG